UACAGAGGGUGCGAGCGUUGUCCGGAAUCACUGGGCGUAAAGCGCACGUAGGCGGGUCGUUAAGUCGGGGGUGAAAUCCUGGAGCUCAACUCCAGAACUGCCUUCGAUACUGGCGACCUAGAGUCCGGAAGAGGUGAGUGGAACUCCUAGUGUAGAGGUGGAAUUCGUAGAUAUUAGGAAGAACACCAGUGGCGAAGGCGACUCUUUGGCCUGUAACUGACGCUGAGGCGCGAAAGCGUGGGGGAGCAAACAGG
rnacentral:rRNA from 1 species